CAGUCGCCACGGUAAUACGAAGGGGGCUAGCGUUGUUCGGAAUUACUGGGCGUAAAGCGCACGUAGGCGGAUAUUUAAGUCAGGGGUGAAAUCCCAGAGCUCAACUCUGGAACUGCCUUUGAUACUGGGUAUCUUGAGUAUGGAAGAGGUGAGUGGAAUUCCGAGUGUAGAGGUGAAAUUCGUAGAUAUUCGGAGGAACACCAGUGGCGAAGGCGGCUCACUGGUCCAUUACUGACGCUGAGGUGCGAAAGCGUGGGGAGCAAACAGGAUUAGAUACCCCCGUAGUCCCUGUCUCUUAUAC
rnacentral:rRNA from 1 species